AUGACCACCAUCACCACUGCCAUCACCAUCACCACCAUCACCAUCACCAUCACACCAUCACCACAACCAUCACAGCAGACCCAUCGUUCUUCCUUUUUUUCUUUUCCAGUUGAAGCUGCAGUAUUUCAGAUCCAACUGGAAUCACAGGGAUUUCUUGUUUGACUCCUCCCUGAAAUCCUGGAAGAAUCUGGAGUCGGCAGAAGUGUACAUGUUGCAAAAAUCACAGAAUCAUGUGAGGAAUGAAAGGAAGGCCCCCUUUUUCCACCCUGACUCCAACAGUCCCACUGCUCAAAGGACCCCAGUUUCCAGGAGAUCAGGUUUUAACCAGUCUCACCUGUGGGCUUCAUUUCCUCAAAUGGGUCCAGACUGUCAUGUGAUCUUGGGCAGGGGUUUGUUCUCAUUCUCACAUAUGUCUCCAUCACCAUAUGCCCGUUUGGACUUUGACCGGCUGCAAGAAUCAGAGUGUCUGAAAACUAGUAGACUUACACAGCCACCCGCAGAGCUGUCCUGCAGGUCCUGCUCAAAGCAGGAAGAGGUCCCCAAGCCUUCUUUUCUGGUGCCUUCUGACACCACAUACUGCAAGUACUCCAGCACUUCCCUGGCUUUGGGAACUCAAAGGGUCUACUGGGAGCAAGACAGAAUUAGUGUUGAGGACUUAGCACCCGUAGGGUAGCCUCCACUCAGUGACUGUUGGGACCUGGUGGAUCAAUACCCCAGCUCCCUGGCCCAAGUUGCUCACAACAGUAACUUGCUUGAUGCCACACCCUUUGCUGACUUUCUUCCAUUCCCCGUCUCACUUCCCCUACCAGUGCCUCCUGGGUUCGCCUCCCAAAUAGAUGACUUACAUUCAAAUCUUUAUUUUAUGUUGGCUUUGGAGGGGACCCAACUUAAGGCGGGGUUCCCAACCCUCUUUUGUGAGGUGCGACAGCUGGUUAGGGGCAGUCCUGCAAUGACAAGCCUACCCCCUGCUGAUCACUGGCAUCACCCCCCGUCAUGCUUAGAACAAUUGCACAGGUGGUUGACCGGUGGGGCAGUGAGGCUCAGAGAAGUUAAACGGCUUCUCCAAGCACAACAGCAAAUGCACUUAGUUCUGAAAAUUUUUUCCCAGCAAUUUCCUUCCACCUAACAGAUACACAUCUGAAGGUUGUGAAAGAAUUCAUCAUCAUGUCAGCUCCACAAACAUGUAUUAAAGGUGUACAAGGUUCCAGGCCCCAUGCUGGGCCCUGGAGACCCAAGGUGAAUCAGCAAGGAGGUGCGUCCAUUGGGGAGACAGAUGUAAAAACCACUGCAUCAGGGCAGUAUCAGCCAACUCAACACACCACAGGACAAAGGCCAAAAACGUAACUAGGAAGUACAGAGAAGAAAGAGCUGAGAGAAAGCACAGGUUUGAGAGGGUGUGGGGAGGUGAGGAUGGGUGUUCCGAGAGCAAGAACAGCAUGUGCAAAGGCCCUGAGGCCAGACCAGGAGAGAUGGGGGAAGAGUGUCUGAUUACUAGGAGAAUGUCUUGGAUGGAUGAAAAUGUAAGGUGGGCUCAGAUGAGACAGGGCUACAGAGAGGAGAACCAGGGAAGAGGCUUUUCUGGCCUGAACUGGGCACAGACUGUGGAGAUGGUGAGGAGAAUGUGAAUUCAACACAUUUUAAAGAGAUGGGGAACAGACGCAGUGGCUCACGCCUGUAAUCCCAGCACUUUGGGAGGCCGAGGCGGGCAGAUCACUUAAGACCAGGAGUUCAAGACCAGCCUGGCCAACAUGGUGAAACCCCAUCUCUACUAAAAAUACAAAAAUUAGCUGGGCGUGGCAGCACUUGCCUGUCCCAGCUACUCGGGAGACUGUGACAGGCGAAUCGCUUGCACCUGGGAAGCGGAGGUUGCAGUGAGCCCUGAUCGUGCCACUGCACUCCAGCCCAGAGGUAAAUGGGCAGGGACUGCCUAGAGUGCUCCGUGGUCCUAGCAAAGUCUUGCUGGCUCUUGUAGUGAUCUCAGUGGCAUGCACAGAGUUCCAGAACUUCAGAGCACCUCUUUUUGGUAAGGGGGCAGCAUCCUGACCUCUACCCGCCGAAGCAUGCGCCUGUCCUGGUCACAUGCUGGAUUAACCUGUAAGCCUAUUAACCAUGGCUCAACAUCCUCCGCCACCUUGAAAGGAGCCCCAGAGCUCCCUGGUUAGGGAGAGAGUUCCCAGCCUGGUCCCGAGGAUGGCCACGUCUCACCUGGCCCUGAGCCACUGUCACAGGCAGUGGGGCAUGACUCUCCAGUUGUCUGGAGCCUUUACCUUGACCCUGAGUGACCUGAGGGAGCCAAGCCCGACGGCAGCAGUGACCGCUGCUGAGUCAUCUGGCCCCCAAGACACCCAAGGGUCCCUGGGCACCCACGCUGUGUUAGCUUCAUGCAGAGGUCUCAGUGCUCACAAGGACCUUACUGCAAGCUCUGAAGCCCCAGGGCCGUGUGGACGGCUACAGAACCUCAUCUGACCAGGCUUCCCCCAAGAACAGAGCCAACCCCCAAAAUUCUGGAGAGAAGUCUUCCCUGACCAAGUCCAGAGCUGCUGGGUUGUGUCCCGUCCAGGCAAAGCCAGCUCCAAGCACUUUCCCUCUGGAGCAGCAUGAAGGGCAGAGGGGGAACUGCAGGCCAGGCUGACCUGGAAACCAGCCUCCAUCCUGCCCCUGGGCCUGGGGUUGGGACAGGGCCUCUUUCAGAGGCCUCGGGGGCAACUGUUCCUGGUGGGUUCCCACAGGUGCCCUCAGCACCCACAGGACAUCAGGGCGUGGCAGGAAGCUGGGGCUUCCCUCUUCCCUUGCUGCUGCAUCAGUGUCACUUGGGAGUUCCUUAGAAAUGUAGAAUCUCAGAUCCCAAGCCAGACCUCCAGAACCAGAAUCUGCAUUUACUAAGAGCCCCAAGUGAUCCGUGUGCCCACUGAAGUUUAAUACGCCCUGGCUUUGACCACUCUCCACAGCCACGACUGUUCCACACCUUCUGUCUCCUCAGAAGGAGUUUCCAGGAAGGGCUUUGUGCUUAUUUCCACGUCUGCCUCUCCGUCAAAAUAUAAGCUUCUUAUGGAUGGGAAUGUGUAUCCCUAAAGCUUUCGGUGCCUGAGCCCUGCCUGCACACUGGAGGUGCCUACUCAGUGCUUGCGGAAUAAGCGAGGGGAUGUGUGUCACCAUGCAGACUGGCAGCGCGCCAGGGCCAAGUCCCUUUCUAUCCUCUGCAUCAUCAGGCAAUGGAACAAGGAACAGAGUGGCAUGUGAGAGCAAAGAGAUGUGCCACCCCUGCCACAGCGCGCUAGGAUUUGUUCUCUGCACAGACAACUGGAGAGGCAGAAGCCUGGGGGCCUACAUUCCCCCACCCCCCUUCCCACUCUCCCCGACACACGUGCCUUUGCCCUGGCGGCAGGUAGGUUUCAGACCCUUCUCUUCAUUGGUCUCGACCCAGCUACAGACUGAGCUCACUUAGCCACUUCUUUGCCAACUAAGAAUCCUGCCCUUAAGGAACCUACUGGGUGACAUCGCCCAAGAGAUGCAGGAACCCGAAGCUCUGGGUCACACAGGUCUCCUGACCACUUGCUCUCUGUUUUCCAGGGACAUGGAGGGGCUCGGGGUUCAGGAUGGCUGAUGGGGCACUCAUUUAUCUCCCCCAGCCAAAUCCAAGUGGAUCAAAGAAGGAAAUAGUCUGGCAGUCCCAGAGCAGCAUGGGAAAGCUGAGAAAUGGAAAACUAGGGAAAGAAUCUGCAUAAGACAUAAAGGUCAUGGGACAGACAGACAAUGAAACCCACAGACCAAGGGACCCACACCCCAUGCAGGAGGGAAAGGAGGCCCCAACCCCUGAACCUUCCUAGGAGGACAGCACUAGGUGAGAGGCUGCAGGGUGGGCACAGGCCAAGGACAUCUGAGUAAUUAACAGUGUCAGGGUGAGCAGAUUGACUGUGUCCCACCCUUCCUCCACCAAACACCACUUGGCAUUGAAUUCCAUGUUUGCCUGGAGGUCAAGGCGCAAGAACAGCUAAAUGGAGUUCUGAAACUGCGUACUAGGCCAGAGAAAAAGGGCAGCACCCCAGGUAACUUAAGCGUCCCAUAGGGAAGCAGAACCCUUUACUCAGAAAAUCAGAUCCACCAGCUCCUCUUGGCCACAGGCCUCUUUCACUUGCCCACAUGUCACAAUUACUGUAGAUAGGGCUCUCCAGCACAAAGAUUUCUUGCAUGGCUAAGCCAACAGGAAUUCCCACUUAGCCUGAGGAAGGACAUUCUAGGAAACAACAAUUUUGUCCAGAUCCCUCCCCGCACCAUCUUCAAAUAUGAAGAGACAACCAAGAAACACUAAAAAUGCAAUAAUCCAAUGCACCAAAAGAGAGACACCAAACUCGACAAACAAAAGAACCAACACAGGAGGCCGAUGAAGUAAUGCUGUAAACAGAAGAAAAAGGUAAAACAGCUGUACUUUCUACUUCCCGGGAAAUUUGAGAGGACAUCUAUCUUUUAAAAGAAACAGGUUCCUGAGAAAAGGAAACCUUUUCGGUUUUGGAAAUUGCCAACUUGAUGGACAAAUUCUGAAACCACUAAUUAGCAGAUUGAAUAAUGAGGGGAAUACAGUGACCUGGAAGUUCUUGACAAAGGAGUUUCCUGGAACCCAGUGCAAAAGCACAGAGAGAUGAAAAGGAAGAAAAGAAAGGACCUCUGAGCUGAAGAAGAUGGAAAUGUUUAGACUACAAUGUCCCAGUAGCUUUGGGUAGCAAGGAUGAAAAAUUGGCACGUGCCUGGUGAAAUGUCUAAACUCCAAGAAUG
ensembl:lncRNA